rnacentral:rRNA from 1 species
UACGUAGGUGGCAAGCGUUGUCCGGAUUUACUGGGCGUAAAGGAUGCGUAGGCGGACAUUUAAGUCAGAUGUGAAAUACCCGAGCUUAACUUGGGUGCUGCAUUUGAAACUGGGUGUCUAGAGUGCAGGAGAGGUAAGUGGAAUUCCUAGUGUAGCGGUGAAAUGCUAGAGAUUAGGAAGAACACCAGUGGCGAAGGCGACUUACUGGACUGUAACUGACGCUGAGGCAUGAAAGCGUGGGGAGCAAACAGG